UUAAGAACAACAGGGUUACCUCAGUAACGGCGAAGUGAAGCGGUAACAGCUCAAAUUUGAAAGCUGCCAACAGGCCGCGUUCUAAUUUGUAGAAGAUGCUUUGGGUGUUGGCCUGGUCUAAGUUCCUUGGAACAGGACGUCAUAGAGGGUGAGAAUCCCGUACGUGACUGGUGCCAGCAUCCGUGUAAAGCUCUUUCGACGAGUCGAGUUGUUUGGGAAUGCAGCUCAAAAUGGGUGGUAAAUUUCAUCUAAAGCUAAAUAUUGGCCAGAGACCGAUAGCGCACAAGUAGAGUGAUCGAAAGAUGAAAAGCACUUUGGAAAGAGAGUUAAACAGUACGUGAAAUUGUUGAAAGGGAAGCGCUUGCAAUCAGACUUGCAGGCGGUCGAUCAUCCGAGGUUCUCCCCGGUGCACUCGAUCGUCUUCAGGCCAGCAUCGGUUUCGGUGGUGGGAUAAAGGCUGUGGGAAUGUGGCUCUUCGGAGUGUUAUAGCCCACGGUGCAAUGCUGCCUACCGGGACCGAGGACCGCGCUUCGGCUAGGAUGCUGGCGUAAUGGUUGUAAGCGACCCGUCUUGAAACACGGACCAAGGAGUCUAACAUCUAUGCGAGUGUUUGGGUGUCAAACCCAUACGCGUAAUGAAAGUGAACGGAGGUGAGAGCCCUUUAGGGCGCAUCAUCGACCGAUCCUGAUGUCUUCGGAUGGAUUUGAGUAAGAGCAUAGCUGUUGGGACCCGAAAGAUGGUGAACUAUGCGUGAAUAGGGUGAAGCCAGAGGAAACUCUGGUGGAGGCUCGCAGCGGUUCUGACGUGCAAAUCGAUCGUCAAAUUUGCGUAUAGGGGCGAAAGACUAAUCGAACCAUUGGAACACUACUAGGUGGUUAAGAGAGAAACACAUCUAGUCCGCUACGGCGGGCAACACUCUCCAAUUGCGGGGACGUCCUGUUAGGGUAUCACCACCGCAGCCGGCCUGAAAGGGCGGCGCGCACCGGGCUUCGGCCUGGGGAUGGUCACAGUGUGAUACCUAGGGAUAAUCCGCAGCCAAUUCCUAAGGGCUUCCCAGCCUACGGAUGCAGUUCACAGACUAAAUGUGAGUGGGCUCCCAGAGCUUAAGUGAUAGUCGACCCCCCGCGAGAGCGAGGUGAAGCAU
rnacentral:rRNA from 1 species